rnacentral:rRNA from 1 species
GAUGAACGCUAGCUACAGGCUUAACACAUGCAAGUCGAGGGGAAACGACAUCGAAAGCUUGCUUUUGGUGGGCGUCGACCGGCGCACGGGUGAGUAACGCGUAUCCAACCUGCCCACCACUUGGGGAUAACCUUGCGAAAGUAAGACUAAUACCCAAUGAUAUCCCACGAAGGCAUCCGAAUGGGAUUAAAGAUUUAUCGGUGAUGGAUGGGGAUGCGUCUGAUUAGCUUGUUGGCGGGGUAACGGCCCACCAAGGCUACGAUCAGUAGGGGUUCUGAGAGGAAGGUCCCCCACAUUGGAACUGAGACACGGGUCCAAAACUCCUACGGGAGGCAGCAGUGAGGAAUAUUGGUCAAUGGGCGAGAGCCUGAACCAGCCAAGUAGCGUGCAGGAUGACGGCCCUAUGGGUUGUAAACUGCUUUUAUGCGGGGAUAACGUGCACCACGUGUGGUGUAUUGCAGGUACCGCAUGAAUAAGGACCGGCUAAUUCCGUGCCAGCAGCCGACGG